CAACAAUUUUGGGCCUUUGCUCCCAUAUUUUCAAGUCAGUUCAUCCCUCUGCACUUCUCCGACGAUCCACCACGAGAACUCGCGGCGAAGCGCCGGAAAAUGACGAAGUUCUUCGCGUUUGAGAAGAUGCACAGGCAUUCAGGUGAAAGAAUGUGGGAUCAACUUUCUAGGUGCACCUCGUCCAGGAGUGUCUAAAGAAUCCAUUUGAUGUAUAGUGGUAGAUGGUGCAAACGUUGGCCUCACUAAUCAGCCUAGUUAUGAUUUCUCCCAGGUUUAUCUUGCAGUGACGAUAUGUUAGCAACAUUGUCCAUCUAGUCCAGAGUAAAUUCUUCUCCACAUUGAUCAAUCAUCAAUCCACGUGCUUAAGUGAAAUGACUUGAAGCUUGUUAAUUUGGCCUCAAAGCUGAAGUGGUUCAGGGAAAUUUAUAUGGUGCUUGGUUUUCUAAAUUUUCCAUUUUGGCUCCUUGUGUGUUUCUGUUUGUUUGUCUUUCUGACUGUGCCUUUUUGUUUACAAAGGGUUGAUUGAUCGAUCAAUAAUGCCUCAACUUUGCUGCAGGGGAAUAUCAUGGUAGUGUAUCUUUUAGUCGUAGAUUGUUAUUUUGAUUUUAUUUCAUGUUCACCACUUGAAAAGAUAAAAUGAAGUUAUGCCUGAUAACUGUUAUAGAGUUUGGAAGGAGGGGAUGGGUUUAGGAGAUUUACACAGGCUUCUGGUAGGAUAUGAAUUUAACAAAAGGAUAAACAACGUAACUAAGUUUGCAAUGUGAUCAUAUUUUUAUGGAGCUUAACUGAAACUUGAAAAAAAAUUAGUUAGAUUCUGAACCAUGGCUGUGUAAAACUAUUCGUCAGUAUGUUUGAGAUUAGUAAUUUCAGGGACAUAAGUUGCAUUCACUUUGUUAUUGGUAAUGGACUCGGUGAAUGUCUUGUGACUUGACUCUUAUGGGAUGUUUCCCCAACUCUUUCUGUGAGUUAGUCAACUUCAUUGCGUAUAUCAUGUAAAACCUUACAAUGAGGUUUGUAGCAAUUGUUUAGUUUAAGUCAUGUCAAUCCUUGCAAUUCAUAAAUAGUAUAACAACUUGACUAGACGAAAGAACCAUAAGCACUAACUAGAUGAAGGAAUGCUUAUGAGUCACUGCAGAUUCUGGCAUGAAUUAAUUUGUGAAGUGAGGCGUUAUUCUGAUGUGCAUAUUUUGCAUUACCUUCGUCACAGUUCAUGAAAACCUGACUUCCCGUGUUAAAUAACUAAAUAAGAAGUACCAAAAACAGCUUGAAUUAAACCAAAUUUGUUUCGAUUCUUUGAAAUAGACUGCGUAUUUACAACGACAACAAAGUAUCAUUGUGUAAAUCCUUAAAUAGGAUCUGGAGAGAGUAGUGUGUACGUGAACCUCUACCUUGGAAGGCAGAACGAUUAUUAGACCCUUGGGUUAAAGGAAAAAUAUAGAUAAAUUACACCACCGUGCAAAUGCCUUCUCUUCCCCUUUCCAGUUUAAGCUAAUAAAGCUGGUAUAAACCUCGAGAAAUGUUGGUUUAAACGUCUUACUGAAACAGUUUUGGGUAUAUUUCUGUUUUCAAUAAGCUUUGAAAGAUGUUUGGUUGCAACUUUAUUUGAUACUAAUUAUUGACAGCUAACAACUAAUAAAUAGCAAUUAACUUGUUGUAAUAGACUAAAUGAAUCCGAGCAUCUCACCAACUCCAAGUUUUUGGAAUGCCCCAAAUUCGACUCGAGUAUUGGUAUGAAAAAAAUAUCACAUUCCCAGUAAGUAUACCAUAUAUUUAAAUCCAUGCUUAAAAUAUAUUUCCGGAGAGUUUAAAGAAAUCGUUAAUAACUUGCAAUAAAGUAAAUUAGUGUCAUUAUCCCAUGAAUUAAAGCUAAGCGUGCGUAUAAUUCUACUUUCAACUUCCUUGGAAAUGCAAUGUACCCAAGUUUAACAUAUACUAAUCUAAGGUCAAAAGAAGUCACCCAUAAAGAAGGAGAGGAGUUAUAAUGAACAAAAGGAGGACAAAAUUUUACCACAAGUGGUAUCUCCACCAGGGUGGGCACAAUUAUACCUUUGAUGAAUGUGCCCAUUUUGAUAUGUUUACUAUAAACUAGUUAUAUUUGGUACUUUGGAUCUAACAAGCUAACUAGUGGUGUUUGACUCAAAAGGCUUGAUGCUUUGACCUUGGAAUUGAUAUAUGUGGGAUGCAUAUAUAUUAUAAGCAUAAUUAGCUAGCUUUACUCAAAAGCUAACCUUGGUCCCAUCAAUGAUUUCUUCUGUUAGUUUCUCUCUGCCAAAUUCAUCUAAGUUCAUCAUUUCCUACCUAUACUAUACAUUAAAAAAAGUAGUUAAAAAGAAAGGGUGUUAAGAAGGGAAGUUUGUUUUCAUAUACAAGUACAUAUUAUAUUUUUCCAAUCACUCUUUUUCUUUCUUCCAUUGAUGUCUUUAUCAGAUAAAAACAAACAACUUAAAGAACAAGUUGAGAUAGGGCCAUGAAGAGCAGCAUGUUUUUGUGCAAUCAUAAUGGCUUUCAAUUUGAUUAGGUCAUAUUCCCAAACCAAGCAAAGUUCCAAAGAAAGCAAAUUAUAUUGGUGAAACUCAUAACGUCAACAUAUUGAGAUCAUGGAGUUGCCUUUGCUCACAAGAAACUAAUAACUUGUUUUAAAAAGUCUAUACCUACACAUGCAAAGUGCAAACUCUACCACCAACAACCAACUUUGGACGAAUUCUCUAGGUUCAACCAAAUUCGUGCAAAAAAUAUUUAAACUAUAUGCAUUUGAUAAUUUUUGAAUUCUAGAUUUGUGCUCCGUGAACUCAGUGUUAAUUGGGGAAAUAUUUAAUAUAUAUACUUUACAACUAGAAUAGAAAUAAAUCACUGGAUCCAACAUCUGUUGGGGGUUGGUUGGAGUUUGUUUGCUUGUUGAUCUCUCUUUAUGUCAAAACAUGUGCAGUUGUUUGCAAAUGCAGUCUUGUAUUGUAUGGGUGAGAUGAUUAGAAAUGUUCAGUGCUUACGAGCUAAUUAAGCAAUGAAAUCAUUUAAUUAUAUGUACUUCUCAAUGGGGUUUGGGUCUUAAUUUCUCUGGGAUUUUGAUAAGCACUAAUGAAUAGGUACACGUGGUGACGAGGACAUAACCUUUAAUUAUGCUGAUAUGAACAAUUAUUUUUUUUUCUCAAUAAGACAAAUUAACAACCGUGCAGUCUCAAUCUUUGAAUUUAAUUUCUCUAGUUUUAUCUAC
rnacentral:lncRNA from 1 species